CACGAGUCCUGCACUGGGAAUACUGGCAGCUCCAACACUGGCCAAGGUGGCUGUCAUACUAAACAGGAGACAAAUUCAGCUUUUAGCAGAUAUUGCAACAUGGAUUCUCCGGAGUCUCCACGAUUGGGUCUAUGUGGCUCUCGCUCAUCCUGACCUCCACUUGCUUCUGCAUUUUGAUGGCACUGAAAAAUAUACAGACAGAAGAGCUUGUAUUCAGGAGUGAUAGUGUUAUUUACUUUAAACUCUUUGUGGACAAGUGCAUUGUUUCUCUGCUUCUUCUUCUCUCAGCCAGUCUUGGCUGAUAGCUACUCAUACUAAGCCUAAUUUGGUGAAAGUCUCUGAUUGUUGUUCCUUUCCUCCAUUGCCACAUGUUUAGUCAGGAAGACAAAUAGCUGCAAAGUCAACAAUGCAGUUGUCUGUGUUUUCUUGGAUAUCUUUUUACCAACAGGUAUUAAAUAAUUUACUGAAUUUGACUGUAUGAUUAGGAUUGAAUGGAAUUAUAUGUAAUGUAAAUCUAACUGUAUGGACAGUGUUUGAAUGUGGUGAAUUAAUAUGAAUUGAAUGUCAAAUGUAUUUGAUCCCUAAUAACUGGAUAUGAAUUUGCAUCUAUUUGUCUAGUAAAGUUUAAAGAUUUUGUAACAUUUAAAUGUAUCUUUAUUUUGCUGCUUUUAGUUCCUGCUCUUUUUUCUGGUUUUAUGUUGUAGCAAUUUGAGAAUUGAAAAAUGUAAAGUGCAGUCA